rnacentral:SRP_RNA from 1 species
GCCGGGCGCGGUGGCGGGUGCCUGUAGUCCCAGCUACUCGGGAGGCUGAGGCAGGAGAAUCGCUUGAACCUGGGAAGCGGAGCUUGCAGUGAGCUGAGAUCCGGCCACUGCACUCCGGCCUGGGCGACAGAGCGAGACUCUGUCUCAA